GGGGCCGGUGGGGGUCGUGGGGCCUCCCCCACCCGAGUACAGGCGAGCGAGCGGCAUCCGGGCGGACCCCCGCCUCGGGGACCGGGAAACUGAGGCUCGGGCGGCCCCGAGACGCCGUCAAGGUCACGUAGGUGGUGGGGGCUUGCACCUUCGCCUCCCAGCUCCAUCCAGUGUCCCUGGCCAGUGUCCUUCCACCUGUCCACAAGCAUGGGGAACAUCUUCGCCAACCUCUUCAAGGGCCUUUUUGGCAAAAAAGAAAUGCGCAUCCUCAUGGUGGGCUUGGAUGCUGCAG
rnacentral:sRNA from 1 species